UACGUAGGGGGCAAGCGUUGUCCGGAAUUAUUGGGCGUAAAGAGCGCGUAGGCGGUCCGGUAAGUCGGUUGUGAAAGUCGGGGGCUCAACCCUCGGAUGCCGAUCGAUACUGUCGGGCUAGAGUCCGGAAGGGGCGAGUGGAACUCCUGGUGUAGCGGUGAAAUGCGCAGAUAUCAGGAGGAACACCGGUGGCGAAGGCGGGUUGCUGGGCCGACACUGACGCUGAAGCGCGAAAGCCAGGGGAGCGAACGGG
rnacentral:rRNA from 1 species